UCAUUAUUCAGCCCGUAAAGAAGGUUUUUCCUUUCUUGUUUUUCAUCGUCUGGAAAUAAAUUGAACAGAAAAUUAUUGAAGCUUGGCACUCUGUCAAUAAAAUUUCUGAACUUACCACCAAAUCGCAUAGGAACGCAGCUGGUUCGCCGUGUCUACACCGCCCAUGUUAUCGACGUAAUCGCCAAUAGCCUUUGGACAAGACUUUGUUCUGAACGAACCAUCGCGCUGCUUCCUUUGCACCUUGACAGCCUCUGAGACGUGGAAGUUGGAAGCGACCCGAAACGGCUUAGUGUCCUUCCAGAUGAAAACACCCUUUCUUCCCGUUCCUGGUUCACCGCCAAACUUGGCAACAAAUUCGUCCUGCGGAAGGUUCGAUUCGUUGACCGUAAAAAUGGGUUGCCCCACUCUGGUUUUAAGAAUCGUUCCAACCGCA